GUCUGUUGUUGUUCUUGCUUCUCAGUAUAUGCUAGGCAACUAAAUGAUACAUGUAAAUAUGUGUGUAAAAUACGCAACCCCCAAGGUUAAGUCUUUCCAACUUAAAAGCAUGCCGUUUUACCAAAAACAUGUGUAUUUACAGUGUUUGUUUGUGUUAAAUAGACUAUUUACGUUUCCAAGUUCAUUCUAUUUUUUCAGCAUACCAAGAAGCAGUGAUUUCGCGAACUGGGCCUACAUGAAGUCAAUAGUUUGUCUACGUGUGUGUCGUGUUCGGACUGGUGAGCGGCCAGGUUAGCCUGAUGGACUUCUUUGAAGACCCAUGCCCCAUUGGAUGUCUGCAAUCCGUGUGCUUAAACAGUGUCGGCUGGAUCAGUUGCCAGGCUGGAUGGUGUAAGUUGUACGGAUGUGGGGAUGGUCCUAUCGUGUGCACGCCCCAGUAUCCGCGGGGACAGAACUGCAGCAGCUGGGGGUUCUGUACGAGAGACCGGAACUGAAAGGGUUUUGAAGCUGUUUGAGACUUUGGUCUAUUGCUAUAUUUCAAAUAACUUUUCAUGAUUGCGUGUAUCAUUAAUUACUUUCUGACUGUAGUUCACAUGUUUAAUUGAUCGUAAAUUCCAAAAACAACUGUUAUGAAGACGUUCUUUGAAAUGUUAACAUAGUUUGCACAAACAUUAUUAUGCGAAAAACAUUGAUUAAAUAAUUUUACUCGCAAUUUACUAGUUACGGUGAAAUACGUCUGAUA